GUGUGAGCGGAGGAGAGGCAGAGAGAGAGCGGGACAGAGGAUCCAAAGCAGAAUCCAUGACAGGAGAGAGCAUGAUGUGGGGCUUUGAACUCAUGGAGCCUGAGAUUGUGACUGAAGUCGAAGUCAGACGACACACAACCCACUGAGCCACUCAGUGCUGCGGCAGUUCCUUUGAACAGCAGCAACAGCAACAAAGAACCAUCCAUGCCAGGACUGGUGUGGGCAGCUGGCACAGAAGCUCGUCGGCUUGGAGCCCUAGGCCUGGGCAGCCUGGCCAAACUGCAUUUCUCGGGAGGUCCUGAUGGAUGCUGAGGACUUGCUGCCUCAGGGAUGUGGCCCUAUCUCCCAGGCCACGAAGAGUUCUGGAAUCGGGACUCCGACAGGGAGCAGCAAAGGGAACUGACAGCUUCUAAAUGCCUUUUUCCUUAUUGAGCUGCAAGGAGAUGCAAUGUUGGGCCAGACAAUGCCUAGGCUGGGGAGAGGGUGAUAUGGGGAGCUGGUGUCUUACCUUAGUCUUUGAACUACACCCUUCCCAACCUAGUUGAGAACAGUGACCAGUGUCAGAAAUCACCUCUCACACCCUUUUGGUUAGAGAGAGAAAUCACUCCCUGCUACUGCCUCACAUCUUCAUUCACACUUUGACGAUUGCUUUGAACUCACUGAUAGUCAUCUGUGUCUGUCUCCACCAGCUGAUGUGCUGACAGAAGUUCACAACCAGCUCUUCAGAAAAAAAUGUAGACAUAUCUACAUAUACCUAGGUUUAUUAUAUUGCAUGAUA